CGCCGGCGGGCGCAAGCCUGAUGGAGCGACGCCGCGUGAGGGAUGAAGGUCUUCGGAUUGUAAACCUCUGUCACUGGGGAGAAAACGCUUUGAGUUAAUAGUUCAAAGCCUGAUUUAACCCGGAGAGGAAGCCGUGGCUAAAUCUGUGCCAGCAGCCGCGGUAAUUA
rnacentral:rRNA from 1 species